GACGAACCGUGCGAACGUUGUUCGGAAUCACUGGGCUUAAAGGGCGCGUAGGCGGGCAUUCAAGUCGGUGGUGAAAUCCUCCAGCUUAACUGGAGAAGAGCUGUCGAUACUGGAUGUCUCGAGGGGUGCAGGGGUCUGCGGAACUUCGGGUGGAGCGGUGAAAUGCGCAGAUAUCAGGAAGAACACCCGUGGCGAAGGCGGCUCUCUGGGACGGUACUGACGCUGAGACGCGAAAGCGUGGGGAGCGAACAGG
rnacentral:rRNA from 1 species